rnacentral:rRNA from 1 species
GACGGAGGGUGCAAGCGUUGCUCGGAAUUAUUGGGCGUAAAGCGCGCGUAGGCGGUUACUCAAGUCGGAUGUGAAAGCCCUCGGCUUAACUGAGGAAGUGCACCCGAAACUGAGUAGCUAGAGUACUAAAGAGGGUCGCGGAAUUCCCGGUGUAGAGGUGAAAUUCGUAGAUAUCGGGAGGAACACCGGUGGCGAAGGCGGCGACCUGGGUAGAUACUGACGCUGAGGCGCGAAAGCGUGGGGAGCAAACAGG